UACGGAGGGUGCGAGCGUUGUCCGGAAUUACUGGGCGUAAAGCGUGCGCAGGCGGUUUUGUAAGCCAGAUGUGAAAUCCCCGGGCUCAACCUGGGAAUGGCAUUUGGGACUGCAAGGCUGGAGUGUGGCAGAGGAGACUGGAAUUCCUGGUGUAGCAGUGAAAUGCAUAGAUAUCAGGAGGAAUACCGAUGGCGAAGGCAGGUCUCUGGGCUGACACUGACGCUCAUGCACGAAAGCGUGGGGAGCAAACAGG
rnacentral:rRNA from 1 species